GACGAACGCUGGCGGCGUGCUUAACACAUGCAAGUCGAGCGGUAAGGCCCUUUCGGGGGUACACGAGCGGCGAACGGGUGAGUAACGCUUGGGAAUCUGCCUAUUAGUGGGGGACGAACCCGGGGAAACUCGGGCUAAUACCGCAUACGCUCUACGGAGGAAAGCCGGGGACCGCAAGGCCUGGCGCUAAUAGAUGAGCCCAAGUCGGAUUAGCUAGUUGGUAGGGUAAUGGCCUACCAAGGCGACGAUCCGUAACNGGUCUGAGAGGACGACCAGUCACGCCGGAACUGAGACACGGUCCGGACUCCUACGGGAGGCAGCAGUGGGGAAUAUUGGACAAUGGGCGAAAGCCUGAUCUAGCGACGCCGCGUGGGUGAAGAAGGCCUGCGGGUUGUAAACCUCUUUCAGCUCCGACGAAGCGAGAGUGACGGUAGGAGCAGAAGAAGCACCGGCCAACUACGUGCCAGCAGCCGCAGUAAG
rnacentral:rRNA from 1 species